rnacentral:lncRNA from 1 species
UUUUUCUGUUGAGACUUUCAGUUGCUUUUAGUUGCCAACUAUUACAAACAGUGGACUCCUUGUAAUAUGCAUUUCUCUGGUUCAGAUACUUAGGUAUGAAGAUAUGUGCAUUAUUAGUUGUUAAGAAAGAUUUUUGAGAGUGAAAAUGGAGGACCCGUGACCGGAAGCUCUCACAGUUGGAAAUAAUGAGCGUACUGUGGCCUGGCUGUCUGCUGUACCACAGGGAGAUGCUGGUGACGUGGACGCACUGCUGUGUCCCUUCACCUCACAGCUGCAUUCAGCAUAGUAGCUCAUUUGACUCCAAGUCAUAACCACCAGGACACUGACAAUCCAGUGUCUGCUGCGAGGGAGAGAUCUUUAUUUGUUACCCAGUGGGAUGGUGUGAGACCGCAGGCAGCCAGUGACAGGAAGAAAGGCUCAGAGAGAGAGGCUUGGGGAUUCUGAUUGGCAGACCUUGGCGCAGCUGGCCAGGGGGGCGGGAGGACCCGCCGGAGUGGUGUGAUUCCCCAUGGGUGAUGCGUUCUCUAUUUUUUGCAGUUGGCCGCCCAAUCCCUGAUCACCAGACCCUGCACCCAACCCAGGAGCAGACUGAGGAGCUGCACCAGAUCUACAUGCAGGAGCUGAGGAUAUUAUUUGAGGAGCACAAAGGAUGAAAAGAAGUUGAGGGAAAAGAAGGAGCAAAGGGAAAAGUGGAAUGGCAAGAAGCAACUGAGGAGCCUUCAUUUUCUGUCAGGUGAGGUCAAGGACAAAGAAUGCAAGGAAGAGCUGAAAGAGAAGAGGUGAGGCUGCAUUGAGAAGGAGGGACAAAUGAGUGGGAGGAAGGUGUGUCACUGGGAGGAAGGUGUGUCACUGUUAUACCUCUUACACAAAACAUUACACAUUUUACUCUAAAGAACCCUAGAUGUUCCAGUCUGUGGUGUGUCCUUGUCCCUGAGUAUCUUCAUUUCAGACACUGGCAACAGGAACAUAUUUGGUGCUGCCUGAGUGAAAUGUUAUUUCAGAAAUAGUCCUUCCCACCGAAGGAGGUGUAGGCUCUUGUGGGCCCUUUCCUGGCAGUCUGAAGGAGUCAUUCCUGUUUUAGAAGUUGAAAUGCUCUUAGCUCUACCAAGC